GUGGGGAAUCUUCCGCAAUGGACGAAAGUCUGACGGAGCGACGCCGCGUGAGUGAAGAAGGCCUUCGGGUCGUAAAGCUCUGUCAUCAGGGACGAAUGGCCGGUGGAGUGGAAAGCCACCGGAUUGACGGUACCUGAGAAGGAAGCCACGGCUAACUACGUGCCAGCAGCCGCGGUAAUACGUAGGUGGCAAGCGUUGUCCGGAAUUAUUGGGCGUAAAGCGCGCGCAGGUGGGAUCUUAAGUCCAUUUUUAAAGUUCGGAGCUCAACUCCGUGAUGGGAUGGAAACUGGGAUUCUUGAGUACCGGAGAGGAAAGCGGAAUUCCCCGUGUAGCGGUGAAAUGCGUAGAUAUGGGGAGGAACACCAGUGGCGAAGGCGGCUUUCUGGACGGUGUCUGACACUGAGGCGCGAAAGCCAGGGGAGCGAACGGGAUUAGAAACCCUGGUAGUCC
rnacentral:rRNA from 1 species